rnacentral:rRNA from 1 species
UACGGAGGGUGCAAGCGUUAUCCGGAUUUACUGGGUUUAAAGGGUGUGUAGGCGGACUAUUAAGUCAGGGGUGAAAUCCCGAGGCUCAACCUCGGAACUGCCUUUGAUACUAUUAGUCUUGAAUGUUGUUGAGGUGGGCGGAACGGGUCGUGUAGCGGGUGAAAUGCAUAGAUAUGACCCGGAACACCGAUUGCGAAGGCAGCCCGCUAAGCAACUAUUGACGCUGAG